CAACGGCCGAGGAGUUGCGGCGAGUCGGGGAGGGAGGGAGGAGCGAGGGUCCACUCGGGUUUCAGCAAUGCCACAUGGCCUGUCUCCUCGUAGCUCAGGUAUAGCCUGCCACGGUGGCGUCAGCCUCGGAGCGCGGCCGAAGCGUGCGGCCCGAGGACCCCGGCCAUCUUAGGAGAUGCCGACUAAGAGACAACAGCCCGAUGACGGCAGGAGCUUCCCAGACGGUGAGCGGCCUUCUUUUGCACCUGAGGAGGAUUCGCAUCCCUGGAUGUCCGAGAGAUAAGUUGAGGGGAUGCAAGCGGGGUGUCGGGUCGGGGCUCGCCGGGAGGGAAUAUUGAGUCAGCUUCAGAGAUGGGGAUGUCUAAGAAGGGGCCCCUUUAGGGCCCCUAAAGGGCAAGUCUCCCUUUCGAUCACAGCGCUGAGGCGUGCCAGGCAGAGCAGUCCCAGUGCACGUUGUGCAGCUUGUCUAUUGUGUGUUCUGUCUCUACUGGGUGUCUCGUGUCUUCUGCUUUAGCCCUUCGAUGGGCCUGCGGUCAUUCUUCUCACCGAGAGUUUUCUCUCCUCGUUGCUUCCCCGCAUUUGUCAUCUGCUGUAUCACGGGUGCCUGUGUGGGUUUUCUCUGGAGCUGCUCUGCCCUGCUGCACCGUCUGGCAUAUAGGUGUAAUAGGACAGGGCCCAGGGACUUGAAGUUUGUAAUGUAGGGUGUAGUUUGACCUCAAGGUGGUAUUCCUAGAUUGACACAGGAUGGCUGGAGCUAUUAAGAUCCUAUGCAUCGCUUUGAUUUUUGUCAUCACUUUCUUUCAGAUGCAGACAGAUUAAAUCCGUGGCAGAGCACCCCACACCGGGUGAGGGGGUUCCCGCAGGAAGGAGGUCAAGCCGGAUCGCAGCAGUCAAAAUGAAGUGAGCAAGGUGGUCUGCUUGUAUUCUCCGAGCCUCCUUGCUGCCAGACCUGCCUCGCCACCCUUGUAUACCUUGCAAUGACAGUGUCAGUAUCGGAGCGUGGCCAAAGCGUACGGCCCGAGGACCCUGGCCCUAUUAGGAGACGUCGACUAAGAGAGAACAGCCCGAUGACAGCGGGAGCUUCUCGGAUGG